UAGCUAAGAGGGAGAAUUGGCUUUUUUAUCAAAGGGCUGCCACAGAAAACAAGAAACAUGAGCACGGCAUUAGGGAAGUGAAGCCUGUGGGUAAUUUGUGGUGGCAAGGGGUUGGAGGCGGAAAGACUGUUUGAUGGGGUGCCUACUGUAUUGAGCUUCAGGCAGCAAAGGUAUUACGAAAGCCGUCAAGUUGGAGGACCGGAAAAGGAAAGUGGAUCUGGGCAGCUUUCCCAGAGGAGCAAGUAUUCCACCUGGGGCAUAGCUGACUUGGGUACCCUUUCUGAAAAACCAGGUUGGCCUUCUCAGUCUAUGAAGAAAAGGAGGGUGGCAAAAGUGCCCUGCACAGACAAAGCUGCUGAAUGAAGGAAGAGAUGAUAACGCCCUCUUUGGCACCCAGCUCUUUCUGGGAGGUACAUUCUCACCCAGUUGGAAGGGAAUGAAGACUAUCUCAUCUGUCAGACCUCUGGACAUAGCCCCGUGGCACAAAGAGAUGUGUCUUUAGGCAAAAUUAGGCAGCUUGUGAAUUUGAUUUCUGUUCCUAGUAUAAAGGGGCUGUGACUAAUUUUAUAUUCUGAAAGUGGUUUUGAGGAAUGAAAAAUCUAUUCUUCCCACCCCCAACCACCCACUCCCUCGAAUAAGGGUUUCCUUUUCCCAAGACGCCAGAUUGCUUUGCAGACAAUGCCACUCACUUAUUAUAGAAGGUUCUAGGAGAAGUUGGCAUAGAGCAUACUUCUGUUCCUGGGAAUUCUCUGGCUUAAUGGACACUGGACUUAUCAGUGGCCCAUGGCUGUCGACAGCUGCUGCUUUUCUUGUCUGUGAUGCCCCCUCAAAUGCACAAACACACACACAGGAAGCCCUAAUAUGGUGACCUUAAGAGCUAGUUUAAAAAAUUCUUUUGUUUUAGAAAUUGUGUGGGCUGGUAGAAAGAUGAAGUGAAGUUUUCACAAUUAAGAACUGUGCUUUGGAGUGUUGAUCCCAGGAGACAAACUCCCAGAAAACAUGCCUUCACUACUCUUGACUUUGGCUUUCACUUAGGCAUCCAAUUGGGUUUCUAAGAUUUAUUUUUUAAAAUGUGAGGAUUAAGGGAUUCCCAAUCACUUAAUGAGAAUGAAGGAUGAAGGGGUUUCCAAUCACUCAUAUUUUAGUGAGAAUUAGUCCAAGAAAAUAGCUUUCCUCUGAAACCCCUUUUUGCAUUCGGCUACUUGGGGUGAGAGAGAGGGUUAAUUUUAGCUAUAGUGCACCUUGGGGACUGAGGACCUAAAUUAAGAGAUUCCUACAUUUGAAUUCCAACAUUUUCUAAUGUUCAGAUGCAUCUGAUAGACCAGUAAUUUGUCUAAGGAGAUUGACCACCAUUUUAAACACUGUCUUCAUGGGGCGGGGGGCGGGGGGCGGGGGGGGCGUUUGUUACUAGUUCUGAACAACCAGCUUGCAAGUGAAUUUUUUCAGUCAAUAAUUUAGCCAAUGAUGAAACUGACAUUCAUAAAGGCAAAAAGGUCUCACAUGUGCAGUAGUGAAAAAAGAAUUCAUUCCUCCAGAUGUAGGGUCAUGGUGUUACAGAUAAAGGAAGGGCUCGUAGUACAAAGAAGCCCACAAGGACAAGCCUAUGGGGUCAUGGUGAAGUGCUUUGUCAUUGCAUUCUACCACCCCCUCCCCAACUCCCUGCUACUACUUAUUUUCAGUUCUACCCUGCCAGGGGGUUUCUGAGGUGUUGCCCCAGAAGUGCCCAAACCCUGACCUGCUGUCAAGGGCAUCCCUGUAGAUGUUCAUCCUCUCUCAUGGGGAACCUCCAUGGAAAUCUAAUUAUUCAUAUUCCAAUUA